UGUUGAUGUGUGCAAGGGUCCCUGGUUCGAGCCCGGGUUGAGGCGAAGAGAGGGACGGAACCUACACUGUUACACGUGCAGGAGUUGGGUACUGUGCUGGAGGAGUGUAUCGAGGAGGUGGUGAGAAUGGAGAAGCGACGGGGUGAACUGAUGGGAGAGCUGCAGGCACUAAGAGAGGAGAAGACGGGACAGAGGAAGGGAGUGAAGGAGGGCAGGCGGCACAGUUAAGGCAGCUGCUGAAUAUUGAGGCAGAUGGGAGGAGGGAGGCGCAGAUGAGGGAGUGGCAGUCUGAGGGCUGAGAGGAGUGAGGAGGAGGAGGAGAGGAGGCUGUCCAGUGUGCGUCUGGAGAGGCAGUGUCUUCAGGAGGAGAUGAGGAGGCUGAAGUGGAGGCUGUUCUCUGUCGCCAGUGAGUGUUCUCACAACCAGGUCAUCCUGGCAACCCAGCAGCGUGAGGUGGCCCAGCUCAACAAGGAACAAUGGAACUCGACACACUGAUCAUCCAGCUGACUGAGGAGGUGUCUCAACUCCGCUCCACCCACCAGACCCAGCUCUCCACCUUGCAGUCCCAGCUCUCCACCCACCAGACCCAGCUCUCCACCUUGCAGUCCCAGCUCCAGACACCCAGCCAGACACCCAACCCCACAGAGGAGAUGACCCAGAGCAAGAGGACCUAGUGUGGGGACAUACAGCAGUACCUGCAGGGAGGGCUCAAAGCCCUGGAGGAAAGGUAUGAGCCAAUGCUGCUGGCCCUGUUGAAGCGGAGAGGGAGAGGACGUCAGAGGCCCAGGUGAAGGCCAGGCAGCAGGCCCAGGAGUUGAGGGCCCACCGGGGGCCCCUGAGAGAGGAGGGACAGAGGCUGGGGCUGCAGAGAGCCUGCCUGGAGGAAAGACCCACAGGAGAGAGGACGUGGAGCAGUACAGGGAGACAGUGGACAGGCUGGAGGACACUAAUAGAGAGCAGAAGACAAAGCUACAAAUCCAGAAGAGGGAAACCAAGGAGUUGGAGGAACUGAGAGACAGACUUACUAAAAGAACUCUACCUGUACAGAGAUAUUGUCGAAGACAAUAACGAUAUAACCAGAGUGCAAGAGAAAACCACCGGAACAAAUAAAAAUCUUUCAGUUUAGGUUACAGGACACAAACAACCUUUUCUCAGUUCAUAGUUACUCCUUUCCAAAAAUCAUACCAUCCUUACAAAUGUACUUUAAUACACCUUUCAGAAGGUUCUACCCGAUUGUAAAAAAAAGAAAAAAAGAAAAGGAAGUAGAAAACCAGGAAGUAGAAAACCAGGAAAAAGCAAGGCAGUUUUGUACACUGGUAGCUGAAAUCUGCGGGGAAUUCCCAUCAGAUUGGGAAGGGUAUCUAGAGAAAACAAGCUCGUCAUCAUUCUCAUUCAAUAUUUAAAGACAUGGUAAAACAUCUGUAGAGAAGAAGAUUCUGGAACAGUCUGAAGAUAGAUGUAAUGCAUUCUUCAUAGUGCAACAAAUAAAAGGUGUCCUUUAAAACUAAACUGUGUGAGUGAUGAGUCAGAGCACAGGGACUUGUGUUCCAAAACGGCACCC